UAAACUACAAAAACAAUACAAAUCACUUUUAAUUGCUUAUAAAAGCUUUUAUUUUGUAUUUAAUCAUCACUUUUUUGUUUUUGGGACUUAUUUCGUUUUUAAAAAUAAGAGCCGUUUAUAUUAUAAACCAAAAAACGCGGAAUAUCUAGGAGGUAAAGCCCUUGUGACGUAAGGAACAUACGCCCAAAGUGCUAGUAACUAUGUGCUUUGUACGUAGCUUGACGUAGUCAUGCUAACAUAUAGACGACACCUUAGGGGCAAAGACAUCCCCUUCGGGGAAAGAGCUAUAACGAAGCGCUCGUAGCUUAAGUAUAGUUGUAGUUUAACCUUCAUUCGCAAACCUACUUCGUCUUCGUCCCCUUUAGGGGAACCAAAGGGAACCCCCCCCCCUUCGGGGAAAGGGCUACGUCCAAAGCUAUAGCUGACUUGUGUGUUAGGGGGCUUUGCCCUGGUUGUGCCUAAUAACUACUGUUCUACAGACAACAUUAACAACAGCCAACGGCUUUUUUGUACAUCAAGCUACUAAGCGCUCUUCUUACUUGUAAAAACUAUAAAGAUUAUUCAUAAAAAUAGGACUACAGUUAUCUUUAUAUUUGUAUUUGAAAUAGUGUAAUAGCUCUUGAAGAGUUGGUAAAAUGGUAACACAAAACAUACCAUACGCAUAGUGAGUUUGUCUUANAAGACAUUCCCGAAAGAUAACGUUGCUUUACUACAACGGGCAAAGCUCGAUUACGUUUAGCUACUUGUUUAAUCAUCCGGCCUUAGGCCGGNN
rnacentral:lncRNA from 1 species